AGGUUCAUGUGUUCUUAGUACUCUAACAGCAUACUGAGCAGUCAGUGGAUGUGGAGGAUACUUACAGGUUUAUGUGUUCUUAGUACUCUAACAGCAUACUGAGCAGUCAGUGGAUGUGGAGGAUACUUACAGGUUCAUGUGUUCUCAGUACUCUAACAGCAUACUGAGCAGUCAGUGGAUGUGGUGGAUACUUACAGGUUCAUGUGUUCUCAGUACUCUAACAGCAUACUGAGCAGUCAGUGGAUGUGGUGGAUACUUACAGGUUCAUGUGUUCUCAGUACUCUAACAGCAUACUGAGCAGUCAGUGGAUGUGGUGGAUACUGUCUGGAGAAGUAAGACAAGGCAUUAACUGGAGAAAUUUUACACCAGGUCAAUAUGUGGGUUAUCU